rfam:Ailuropoda melanoleuca scaffold2010_1, whole genome shotgun sequence.
GCCAGGCUGGCUCAGUCGGUAGAGCAUGUGACUCUUGAUCUCAGGGUAGUGAGUUUGAGCCCCACGUUGGGCG